rnacentral:rRNA from 1 species
GAAUCCCGUCUUUGACAUGGACUACCAGUGCUUCUGUGGUAUGCUCUCAAAGAGUCGAGUUGUUUGGGAAUGCAGCUCAAAAUGGGUGGUAAAUGCCAUCUAAAGCUAAAUAUUGGCGAGAGACCGAUAGUGAACAAGUACCGUGAGGGAAAGAUGAAAAGAACUUUGGAAAGAGAGUUAAACAGUACGUGAAAUUGCUGAAAGGGAAACGCUUGAAGUCAGUCACGUUGGCUUGGAAUCAGCUCUGCUUUUGCUGGGUGUACUUUCUUGUCAAUGGGUCAGCAUCAAUUUUGACCAUUGGAUAAAGUUGUUGGGAAUGUAGCAUCUUUAGAUGUGUUAUAGCCUGGCGAUGCAUACAGUGGUUGGGAUUGAGGAAUUCAGCACGCCACCAAGGCCAGGUUUCGGCCAUGUUCGUGCUUAGGAUGCUGGCAUAAUGGCUUUAAUUGACCCGUCUUGAAACGCGGACCAAGGAGUCUAACAUAUCUGCGAGUGUUUGGGUGGAAAACCCAUGUGCGUAAUGAAAGUGAAAGUUGAGAUCCCUUCUCAAGGGAGCAUCGACGCCCGGACCAGACCUUUUGUGACGGAUCUGCGGUAGAGCAUGUAUGUUGGGACCCGAAAGAUGGUGAACUAUGCCUGAAUAGGGUGAAGCCAGAGGAAACUCUGGUGGAGGCUCGUAGCGAUUCUGACGUGCAAAUCGAUCGUCAAAUUUGGGUAUAGGGGCGAAAGACUAAUCGAACCAUCUAGUAGCUGGUUCCUGCC